rnacentral:tRNA from 1 species
GCCUUCUUAGCUCAGGUGGCUAGAGCGACUGCCUUGUAAGCAGUAGGUCGUGGGUUCGAAUCCUACAGUCGGCA